rnacentral:rRNA from 1 species
GCGAAGGAGGUGGCGGCGGCCGCGGUAAGACGGAAGGCCCUAGGCGUGUCCGGAAUUAAUAAGCGUAAAGCGAGCGCAGGCGGUUGGAUAAGACGGAAGUAAAAGGCUGUGGCUUAACCAGAGUAUGCGUUGGAAACUAUCAGACUUGAGAGCAGAAGUGGAGAGUGGAAUUCCAUGUGGAGCGGUGAAAUGCGUAGAUAUAUGGAGGAACACCGGUGGCGAAAGCGGCUCUCUGGUCAGUAACUGACGCUGGGGCACGAAAGCGUGGGGAGCAAACAGGAUUAGAUACCCGGGUAGUC